CACACACUUCCAGUUGAUUUAGGGAAUGGAAAUAAGGGAAUAUAGGGAUAGGCAGCAUGACACACAUUAAUAAAAGACAAUUAGGCAGCAGCCUCAGCGUGCAUCUCGGCUUUGAUGGCAGAAGCUAAUUGGUCAUAUGCUUCACUCCAUGCUUCUUUCAUCUCAUCCUUCCAUUUAUUUCCCGUUGCUUCUUUCACUGUUCUCAACAAUGCUUCUUUUACUACCUCAAAAUGAGGGUCAGCAACUCGUUUCUGAAGAUGGAUGGAUCCCAAGUACUUGAGAGUAGUCUCACCUACCACCACUUCUCCCUUUUCUCGAAGCUGAAUUGCUGAUUCACAUGUCAUCUUGAAAACCUUAACAGCAUGAGCUCUAAGCUUGGGAUUAUUCUCAGGAAGUUCAUCAGAGUCCUUCAAGAAUGAGAACAUGUUCUUUGCUACUGGUGCUAUCUCCAGGAUCAAUGAGAAGAAACGAAGACUAAGUUGAGGAAUGUCUUGCUUCAUGAAUUCCCAUGAAUCUCUCACCAAAGCUUCUUGUUUAUCUGUGAACCCCAUCUUGUAUGAUU
rnacentral:misc_RNA from 1 species